ACACUGCAUCCCUAUUUACGCGGCCAUCCAUUCCAAAUUUUUCUUUCCAAAUUUUUAUUGAGCCGAGUUGGUCGCGUUGCGCCAAGAAAGAACAGAAAAUGAAAUCGCCAAAGUGUAGUUGGUUAAACGCAGCGUUUUGUGAGAUCAAAAUAACUUAAAAGAGCUAGAGGAUUGCAGUAGAAUUCAUGGAUUGAAAAAAGAUAUGAGGCUCCCUGAGGCCGCCUCAACACGUGGCCAGCUACCCGGCGUAGCUAAUAUGGUACAUUUUUCAACAAGCUGCAUGCUGCUUUAUAUUAGCUGGGGAUCUGGACAUAUAUGGUGCAGAGCCGUACAUUUAAACAAGCCGCCUUACAAUUGGGUAUUGUGAUCCGGAAAACGUGACCAAGGUAUGUCCCCUUAUUUCUUGUUUAUAUUAAUUACAUGAUGAUAAGUUCAAUCUGAACAAAGUGCUGUUGAUUCACAACUUCAAAUUAAACCAAAAGGAUUCUGAUAAUAAAAAAAUUUAGUUCUUCUGAUUUAAUACAAAAGCGAAAAUGGAACCUAACCUAGAUUAUUUCUUUAUUUUUCAGACUCAUUUCUUGAUCAGCCACUUCAAUCGAGAGAAAUCCGUCGGAUUUGCUUUUCAGGUAAGAUUCAUAACUGUUGAAAAGAAUAUAUGAAAUUUAUAUGAUGAUAGUAAUUACCGUAUGAUUUUAUUGAUUUCAACCUCAUGGCUGCAAUUAUUGCAACUGAUUCAUUUUUAAAUCAACGAAACCCUUGUAUUCUAGUGAUAUUUUAUUAAAUAGAAUCUACAUUUGUAUUUUUUAGUGAAGUUGCUUAAUGAAGACGGAACGACGGAAAACCCAUGCAUAUGAAUAAGUGCGGUUAAAGCUAUUUGAACUACGAACUGGUCUAUCGGCUAAACUAUAGGGAUUACACUGACCAUCAAGCUAGUGUAACUUUAUCCGACAUACCCUGAAGACUUCAAUGGAUUGUGCAUCGCUUGAAGUGCUCUGAUGGUUUGCUGUCAAACCAGUCGGACAGAUGUAGCGAUGCAAUGCUAUAAAGAUGUAUCAGUACUGUCCUAAGAAUGCGAAUCUUGCCCGAGUUCCAUUCAAAACACUUUGGAAGACAUCUAUUCAAAGGAAACUUAGCAUCAUUUUGAACUGUAAAAGGACUCUUAACUACUAAGGUUGAUUUGUUCCAGAAUAAAACAAAUGAAAUAAAAGUAAAUUAA